AAUACAUGCAAGUCGAACGCUUCUUUUUCCACCGGGAGCUUGCUCCACCGGAAAAAGAGGAGUGGCGAACGGGUGAGUAACACGUGGGUAACCUGCCCAUCAGAAGGGGAUAACACUUGGAAACAGGUGCUAAUACCGUAUAACAAUCAAAACCGCAUGGUUUUGAUUUGAAAGGCGCUUUCGGGUGUCGCUGAUGGAUGGACCCGCGGUGCAUUAGCUAGUUGGUGAGGUAACGGCUCACCAAGGCCACGAUGCAUAGCCGACCUGAGAGGGUGAUCGGCCACAUUGGGACUGAGACACGGCCCAAACUCCUACGGGAGGCAGCAGUAGGGAAUCUUCGGCAAUGGACGAAAGUCUGACCGAGCAACGCCGCGUGAGUGAAGAAGGUUUUCGGAUCGUAAAACUCUGUUGUUAGAGAAGAACAAGGAUGAGAGUAACUGUUCAUCCCUUGACGGUAUCUAACCAGAAAGCCACGGCUAACUACGUGCCAGCAGCCGCGGUAAUACGUAGGUGGCAAGCGUUGUCCGGAUUUAUUGGGCGUAAAGCGAGCGCAGGCGGUUUCUUAAGUCUGAUGUGAAAGCCCCCGGCUCAACCGGGGAGGGUCAUUGGAAACUGGGAGACUUGAGUGCAGAAGAGGAGAGUGGAAUUCCAUGUGUAGCGGUGAAAUGCGUAGAUAUAUGGAGGAACACCAGUGGCGAAGGCGGCUCUCUGGUCUGUAA
rnacentral:rRNA from 1 species